CUUCACAAAUAACCUCUUCUCACAAAAUACACAUAUCAUCGCUUACUUCAAACCCCCCCUCUGAAAAAUCAUCAUGUCUGGAUACCCCCAUAACACACCGGGAUACGGUGCUCCACCGUCAUCACAGCCAUACUCCUCCGCCCCUUACGGCGCCCCAGCUCAACCCUACGGUGCCCCAGCACAACCUUACGGCGCUCCGGCCCCAGCACAACCCUACGGCGCCCCUGCACAGCCCUACGGCGCAUCACAGCCUCCACAUGGUCACCCUCAACAAUCCCCUUACGCACCGGUAGCCAGUCCAUACGGCGCACCACCGCCUUCAGCCCCUUACGGCGCACAUCCAGAAACUAAACCGCCAAAAGAGAUGAAAC
rnacentral:lncRNA from 1 species